rnacentral:rRNA from 1 species
GAUGAACGCUGGCGGCGUGCUUAACACAUGCAAGUCGAACGAAGCACUUUAUUUGAUUUCCUUCGGGACUGAUUAUUUUGUGACUGAGUGGCGGACGGGUGAGUAACGCGUGGGUAACCUGCCUUGUACAGGGGGAUAACAGUUGGAAACGGCUGCUAAUACCGCAUAAGCGCACGGCAUCGCAUGAUGCAGUGUGCAAAACUCCGGUGGUAUAAGAUGGACCCGCGUUGGAUUAGCUAGUUGGUGAGGUAACGGCCCACCAAGGCGACGAUCCAUAGCCGACCUGAGAGGGUGACCGGCCACAUUGGGACUGAGACACGGCCCAAACUCCUACGGGAGGCAGCAGUGGGGAAUAUUGCACAAUGGGCGAAAGCCUGAUGCAGCGACGCCGCGUGAGCGAAGAAGUAUUUCGGUAUGUAAAGCUCUAUCAGCAGGGAAGAUAAUGACGGUACCUGACUAAGAAGCACCGGCUAAAUACGUG